AUUAUGGGCGUAAAGCGAGCGCAGGCGUUUCUAAGUCUGAUGUGAAAGCUUCGGCUCCAACCGAAGAAGUGCAUCGGAAACUGGGAAACUUGAGUGCAGAAGAGGACAGUGGAACUCCAUGUGUAGCGGUGAAAUGCGUAGAUAUAUGGAAGAACACCAGUGGCGAGGCGGCUGUCUGGUCUGUAACUGACGCUGAGGCUCGAAAGCAUGGGUAGCAAACAGGAUUAGAUACCCUGGUAGUCCAUGCCGUAAACGAUGAGUGCUAGGUGUUGGAGGGUUUCCGCCCUUCAGUGCCGCAGCUAACGCAUUAAGCACUCCGCCUGGGGAGUACGACCGCAAGGUUGAAACUCAAAGGAAUUGACGGGGGCCCGCACAAGCGGUGGAGCAUGUGGUUUAAUUCGAAGCAACGCGAAGAACCUUACCAGGUCUUGACAUCCUUUGACCACUCUAGAGAUAGAGCUUUCCCUUCGGGGACAAAGUGACAGGUGGUGCAUGGUUGUCGUCAGCUCGUGUCGUGAGAUGUUGGGUUAAGUCCCGCAACGAGCGCAACCCUUAUUACUAGUUGCCAGCAUUUAGUUGGGCACUCUAGUGAGACUGCCGGUGACAAACCGGAGGAAGGUGGGGACGACGUCAAAUCAUCAUGCCCCUUAUGACCUGGGCUACACACGUGCUACAAUGGAUGGUACAACGAGUUGCGAGACCGCGAGGUUUAGCUAAUCUCUUAAAACCAUUCUCAGUUCGGAUUGUAGGCUGCAACUCGCCUACAUGAAGCCGGAAUCGCUAGUAAUCGCGGAUCAGCAUGCCGCGGUGAAUACGUUCCCGGGCCUUGUACACACCGCCCGUCACACCAUGAGAGUUUGUAACACCCAAAGCCGGUGAGGUAACCCUUCGGGGAGCCAGCCGUCUAAGGUGGGACAGAUGAUUAGGGUAAGUC
rnacentral:rRNA from 2 species